rnacentral:piRNA from 1 species
UAACUCUGUGGGCCUAUCCUCGUAACGC